CCUACGGGAGGCAGCAGUGAGGAAUAUUGGUCAAUGGACGCAAGUCUGAACCAGCCAUGCCGCGUGAAGGAAGACUGCUCUAUGAGUUGUAAACUGCUUUUGUAAGGGGGUAAACCCAGAUACGCGUGUCUUUCUGCACGUAUCUUACGAAUAAGGAUCGGCUAACUCCGUGCCAGCAGCCGCGGUAAUACGGAGGAUUCAAGCGUUAUCCGGAUUUAUUGGGUUUAAAGGGUGCGUAGGCGGGCGGAUAAGUUAGAGGUGAAAUCCCGCGGCUCAACCUCGGAAUUGCCUUUGAUACUGGUAGGCUAGAGAGUAGUUGCGGUAGGCGGAAUGUAUGGUGUAGCGGUGAAAUGCUUAGAGAUCACACAGAACACCGAUUGCGAAGGCAGCUUACUAAGCUACGUCUGACGUUGAGGCACGAAAGCGUGGGGAGCAAACAGGAUUAGAUACCCGGGUAGUC
rnacentral:rRNA from 1 species